rnacentral:lncRNA from 1 species
UGAUCUUCUCUUAGGGGCUUUUGAUCAUUGUCCCUUCCAUCAUUACAUUCAUUGAUGAUGUGACUUUACUCCAUAUUCUAAUUUGAGUUUAUCAUUAUUCCUCUUUAUAUGUUCAUUGUUUCACCAUCAUCUUCGCUAUGACUUUUGAUUCAUCCACUUCGUUUCAUCCAUUUGUUCUUUUUCUUAUAAUAACCCAUUCCAAG